UUUUAAUUCUUCUUCUAAUUUAGGAGUUAAUUAAUUUUUAUAAAUAUUAUGAUGAGUAAUUAGCUUAACUUUGGUAAUUUAUUUUAAGAGUUAAUUUGGGUUGUUAAUUAAUUAUAAAAGCAAAACAAAAAGAAAGGAAAUUGUGAAUUUGUUUUAAAACCUUGAAAUUGGGCCAGUUUAAUUGGAAAUCCGCCCAAAAUAUUCCCCAAUCCAGGCCCAAACUCGAUCCCCACCCGGUCCAAACCUUUCAAGUAUCAAGACAACUCAAACGACGUCGUUUUGAGUUCAAUUGUGUUAAAUUGAUCUUGGCCUUUCAUUUUCCAUCAUCCAAUGGCCCUAAUACUUCCCCCAUUUUCGUUUAAAAAUGUCUGAAGACCCUUUAGAACAACCUAGGACCCCUGAUGAGCUUCUUUUUCAUCUCUCUCAAGUCUAACCCUAGAGAACCCGUCGCCCCUAAACUCCUAAGCUUCCACCGGGGCAUGGCCCAAUCGACUCCAAAUCCCUACCACACAACCACCACCCACCCCUGAUUCCUAAUCCACCACCACAUCUCCCAAAAUUCCUAUCAAAUCCGGCUAGUUUUGGAUCUAAAAGAAAUAAGAAGAAAAAGAAAAAUCUUCCAAGUCUUCGAGCUUCCAAGAACGAUUAAGGUUGAAAUUUGUAUUGUUCGCUUGUUCUCAAUGAGACACGCAAUUAAUACCAAUUUCGGCAAAUCGGAGAAUGCCGACAGGUCUGUUAAAGCCAAAGUCUGUCUACUUUUUAGGUAUUUCUUGGAUCUCAUUAACUUGUGAAGUGCAAAAAAAAUCUGAAGUCAUGUAAUCAAGAUAGAAUUUAAGAUAUAUGUUGUUCAUUGAAUGAUGUUCUAUGAUCUUAAGAUCAUGCAACUCUGUAGUAGCUUAGUCUCUUUGAUAUGCUUAUUUGUUCAAUUUUGAUUUUGGUUUGAAUCAUGUUCAUAAGUCUAAACAAAUACUCUAAUUUAGUUUAUGGGUGUUGUAAAUUAUUUGAAGUUCUGUUUGUAUGUGUGGACUGUUGGGUUUAUUGCAGCAUGGGUUGAUUUAGAUGA